UACGUAGGGUGCAAGCGUUGUCCGGAAUUAUUGGGCGUAAAGAGCUCGUAGGCGGUCUGUCGCGUCGGCUGUGAAAUCCCGAGGCUCAACCUCGGGUCUGCAGUCGAUACGGGCAAGCUUGAGUGUUGCAGGGGAGACUGGAAUUCCUGGUGUAGCGGUGAAAUGCGCAGAUAUCAGGAGGAACACCGGUGGCGAAGGCGGGUCUCUGGGCAACAACUGACGCUGAGGAGCGAAAGCGUGGAGAGCGAACAGG
rnacentral:rRNA from 1 species